GGACGCGUAGCUCAGCUGGAUAGAGCAACUGCCUUCUAAGCAGUAGGUCGCAGGUUCGAAUCCUGCCGCGUUCACCA
rnacentral:tRNA from 1 species